UACCUCGUUUGCACCGUUUUCCCAUUUGACAACCCGAAUUGCACCGAGCACCCAAACGGACCACACUAGGACAUUCCCCAGCCUCCCUGGCAUGCCCCGGCCAAUUUUUGUCCCACGGCACGCCCGAACCCCGGAACCAUGGACUGUAGCACACCGAUUUGGCUUUAAAAUGCCCGUUUGCACCAAUUCGCCCGUUUGACCACCCAAAUGGUUACUCCCACCUAAACGAACAAAACUCGGAUGCUCUCCAGCCUCUCUGGCAUGCAUCGGAUGAUUUUCGACCCACGGCAUGCUCAAACCCUAGGCCCAACCCCAAAACUGUGGGCUUUAGCAUAUUAAUUUGAAUCGAAAAUGCCCGUUUGAACCAUUUUUGCCAAUUUAACCACUCAAAUGGCCCCGCCCAUCCAAAUAGACCAUACUAGUAUGCUCUCCAGCCUCCCUAGCACACCCCGGUCGAUUUCUGCCGAUAGCACGCCUAAACCCCGGGCCCACCCCC
rnacentral:lncRNA from 1 species